UACCCAGCUCGUCAUGCUAGAGCACAUUUUCAAUGGGCUCCCCAACGACAAGGCGACGACGCAUUCGUAUGUCAUCCAUAUCAACUUUCGAUGCCAUUUACUGUGCCUACCAUGGUGACCAUGGAUAAUGGGGAAUCAGUGUUUGAUUCCUGAGAGGGAGCCUGAGAAACGGCUACCACAUGCAAGGAAGGCAGCAAGCAAGUAAAUGACCCACUCCCGACACCGGAAGGUAG